AGUGAACGCUGGCGGUAGGCCUAACACAUGCAAGUCGAACGGCAGCACAGUAAGAGCUUGCUCUUACGGGUGGCGAGUGGCGGACGGGUGAGGAAUACAUCGGAAUCUACUUUUUCGUGGGGGAUAACGUAGGGAAACUUACGCUAAUACCGCAUACGACCUACGGGUGAAAUCAGGGGAUCUUCGGACCUUGCGCGAUUGAAUGAGCCGAUGUCGGAUUAGCUAGUUGGCGGGGUAAAGGCCCACCAAGGCGACGAUCCGUAGCUGGUCUGAGAGGAUGAUCAGCCACACUGGAACUGAGACACGGUCCAGACUCCUACGGGAGGCAGCAGUGGGGAAUAUUGGACAAUGGGCGCAAGCCUGAUCCAGCCAUACCGCGUGGGUGAAGAAGGCCUUCGGGUUGUAAAGCCCUUUUGUUGGGAAAGAAAAGCAGCAGGUUAAUACCCCGCUGUCCUGACGGUACCCAAAGAAUAAGCACCGGCUAACUUCGUG
rnacentral:rRNA from 1 species